ACCCCUGUGAGAAUGCCCUAGUUUCCUGCUUGGGAACAAGGAGCUGGUAUCAGGCACAACCUAUUCAAAGCCCAUGACACCUUGCUUAGCCACGCCCCCAAGGGAAUUCAGCAGUGAUAAACAUUAAGCCAUGAGUGAAAGCUCGACUUAGUUAAAGCUAAAAGGGCCGGUAAAACUCGUGCCAGCCACCGCGGUUAUACGAGAGGCCCAAGUUGAUAAGCAUCGGCGUAAAGAGUGGUUAAGACGAACCAGAAACUAAAGCCGAACACCCUCGCAGCUGUUAUACGCAAAUACGAAGGUCAGAAGCCCAACUACGAAAGUGGCUUUAUAUCAUCUGAACCCACGAAAGCUAAGGCACAAACUGGGAUUAGAUACCCCACUAUGCCUAGCCCUAAAUAUUGAUAGAGAACUACACCCACUAUCCGCCCGGGUACUACGAGUGUCAACUUAAAACCCAAAGGACUUGGCGGUGCUUUAGAUCCACCUAGAGGAGCCUGUUCUAGAACCGAUAACCCCCGUUCAACCUCACCCUUCCUUGUUCCCCCCGCCUAUAUACCACCGUCGUCAGCUUACCCUGUGAAGGCCCUACAGUAAGCAAAAUUGGCCCACCCUAAAACGCCAGGUCGAGGUGUAGCGCAUGGAAGGGGAAGAAAUGGGCUACAUUCACUAUGCCAGUGAAUUACGGAUAAUGCAUUGAAAUAUGCAAUUUGAAGGAGGAUUUAGCAGUAAGUGGGAAGCAGAGUGCCCCACUGAAAACGGCCCUGAAGCGCGCACACACCGCCCGUCACUCUCCCCAAGCCCUCCUUAGACCCUAAUUUCUAAAACCUUUUUUCGCAGAAGGGGAGGCAAGUCGUAACAUGGUAAGUGUACCGGAAGGUGUACUUGGAAUAUA
rnacentral:ncRNA from 1 species